CUGCGCUCCAGUCACCUCUCCUCUCCACCUGUUGCUUCAGCAGACCUACGAAAUAUGAACAGUGUUUGCAUGCUGAAAACAUUAAUCUCUCUGCCGUGAAGCCUGCCUGGCGGUGCCAUCACCUCAGGACUUCACACACAGGAGGUAAUGGAGCAGGCCCCCGGUUGAUGGACUUCUCUUAUCGCCAAUUACGCUUCAAUCAGGGACGCCUCAUCAGCUCCUGCUUUGGUGAGCAAUAGGCCGUCAGCAUGCAGAGGAUGCCCCACAAUCCAAGCUGGGGUCCCUGGCACCAAGGUUAUACAUCCUGGUGUCCCUCGUACUGUAUGGCACAGCUGGAUCCGACGUCAUGGCUGGUCAUCCCACCUUUGACACCAUUUGUACCCAAGAGGAGUAGAGAAGCCCUGCAGGGACUCAAACCCAGACCUUUGGGGGUACCAAACUGGGGCUCUGACCACUACACAAAAGAGCCAGGGUCGUUGGCAUUACAGUUAGAGCGCACCCACAACCCUCGUGACGGCCACUCAAUGACA